CGCUCCUGUAAAUGACUAUUAUGAGUUAAAACAUUGGUCCAGGACAUGUUUAUGAGUUAAAAAAUAUUAUGAGUUUAAACUCAUAAUUUAUUGAAAAAAGUUCCAAAAUAAAACGUUGAUGAGCUUAGAGUUCAUGUUGAAAUAAAUUCAUAAUAUAUGGACUAAUAAAAUGUCCAUCGCUAUGGACGCGAUAUUUGAGUUGCUUCCCCUGCAACAAAUUGAUUUUCGCGCCUUUUUUUCAUUUCUCAAAUGCCCGGAUGUCAUGUGAUCUGCCAACGUGAUUUUGUCCGCCAUCCUGGAUCUCAGAAGGAGGAAUUUCAGAAUGGAUCACUUACGCUCUAAACGUAUUCUGGAUGAAUGGGUGUUUUCCAAAUUGAAGGGAAUUCCUGCAACUAUGCGAUGGCCUGUUCAGGUGCUAAAAACCAGUUCAGAUGGUACUAUAGAUGUUUUCUGCAAGUCAGAUUAUGCUGUAAAUUGUAGAGGACUUCCUUAAUGACAAUGGUGUGGACAGUUUGAGUUCCAGGAAAAAAUCCACAAACAGUUCCAGGAGAAGAUGGACCAAAGAUGAGGAAGAUGAAUUAAGACAAUACUUUCCUGCAUAUUUCAACAUAACUACCACUCGAUCUUGCCCAUCUCAAGGAGAAUGUAACGAAGCAAUAGCCUCAAGUCGUAUGAAUGGAGGGUCUCUACACAAGCGGGGAUGGGAAACGAUAAAAAAGGAAAUGAAAUUGGAUGAAAAAAAUAUAGUUAAAAAAUUGAAGAAUUCCAUCUAAAACUCUUCUUUGCAAGUUAUAUUUUGCUUUUUGUUUCCUUAUUCAUCAAUUGUUGGAAUGGACUUAUAAUUGACAUUGAACUGGAGGGCAGUAAGGCCAGUUUUUUUUCAAUAGACUUAUAUUUUUUUUUGAACCAGUUGUAUAAUAUUACGAAUAUUAGAUUCAGAAAAAUUAUUGCAUUUGGUCUUGGUAUGAAGAUGCAUGAAAAGUAAAUUGUGACCAAAGAGGAGUUUAGGUGAUACUAACAAUUUGAUGAAAAAAUGAAAUUACAAAUGAAAUUACAAACUAGAUCACCUGAGGUCAAAUGUAAGAAAUCCUUACAAGUUCACAAAUAUUUUACUUUGAUAAUCUUGCUUUAGACAAAAUUAUAUUUUCUUAUGAUGUGAAUUUAAAGCUCACCCGUGCUAAGCACAGGGUGAGCUGUUCUGAUUGGUCUUUGUCCGUCGUCCACAAUUUCUUUAAACAACAUCUACUUUACCACUGGACAGAUUUUCAUGAAACUUCACAGGAAUGAUCCUUGGGUGCUCCUCUUUUUACGUAAAUUGUUUCAGUCCAUUGCAUAAGUAGGGCACAGCAGCACAUAAAGGGUUUUAAAAGUACAAACUUUAAAAAUAUUCUCCUCUUAAAUUGUGAUAGCAUCAGCUUAGAUAUCUCUUAAAUUGUGAUAGCAUCAGCUUAGAUAUCUCUUAAAUUGUGAUAGCAUCAGCUUAGAUAUUGUGUAUUUAGCAUAGGCAAGGGGUUCUCAACAAAAGUUAUUUAUAGAUUUGGUUAAAAUUGGGCCCAUCCUCGGACCACUUGAUUACAUUGAUUUAUAUAGGAAUUUCUUUAAAUAACAACUUCUUUAAAUGUCAGUCAUUUCAACCUACUUGUCCUUGACAUUUUAUUUCCCUAUACCUCUUCAUAUUUAAGAGAGGGGUUUAAAGAACUGACCCUUUCCUGCAUUAUGCACAGGUGAGCGCUAUAGCAAUGAUCCUCUUGUUAUACUCUUCAAGCCUUGCAAAUGUUGCAGACUUUUAAGCUUAUAAUAGCUCCUGUUUCCAUAAUUUGGCUGUGUUGGACGACAGAAUGCAAAAAAAAAUAUAAAGAUUUGACAAGCAUUGACAGGUCUGGCAUAAUAUUAUGUCAAAUAUUGGUUGCUAUGUUAUGUAUUUACUUGUGAUUUAACUUAGGGGCUUGGUUAGUCUGUAUAACUUCUGAUAGUUACUGGCUAUAUUUUUUAAUGUUUAACUUUGCCACAACUUUGACGGCAAACACAUGGAAGUACACAUAUUUAGCUCUAGUUAUACAAAUAUUGACUUUUUAGCUGUUGUAUAAUAUACAAUUUUUGACUAGUGAGCCAAUGAAUAUGAUGUGGUACUCAUCGGCAUAUGACAUAUUGACCGAGGCGAUAGCCAAGGUCAAUAUGACUUUCUGCCAGUGAAUAUCACAUCAUAUUCAAUGGCUCACUAGUCAAUAAUUGUUUUAUUACAUGAAUAGGCUACGAAUUAAAAAAAUCACAAAAUGUACAACCUGAUAUACAUGUAUAAAUUUUUCCUUGUUGAAGUGGGGGGAAAAAAGAUGCACGUGUUAGGCUUGCAGCGACUACACAACGCUACGCAUACAAAAAUAAUUCAAGUUUACUUAUCGUUGCAGUGUUGCCUUUAUGUAUACCGUAAUAGUAAAGUAAUGAUAUCUUAUUCGAGAAAUAUGCCUUGAAGAGCAAAAAGCAACAAUUAUUUUUUAAUUAACACCAUAAUUAACAGUUUACGGUGUAUGAUCAUUGAAUAUGAGUCUCAAUCUAUUUUUAGACUGGGAAAAUCCAAUUCAGCCAGUAAAUAUGAUACUGCACCCAGUGAAUAUGAUUUUAUAAAAAGUUCUGUUGACUACUGUUUGGACCAAUGAGAUUGCAGCUAUAUUUGGAUCAUAUAAUAAUGUUAUUUAUUUCAUGCUUUUCUGUGUUUUUACUGUAAUAUAUCAGAUGAAAUUAUUCUAAUAAACCAAUAGUGAAAUUUAUAAAAUUUAAUUUUCACUGCAGCCGGACUAUAUCUGAAUGUGGAUGAAAAAAAUAUCAAAACUAAAUGGAAUAACAGGAAAAAUUUAAUGCCGUCAUACGUAAAUUUUGCUUCUUUAGGAAAAGAAAGUCCAUGCCAUCAUACAUAAAAAACUAACAAAAUUGGAGAAAAUUAACAGAACUAUAUUUCAAGCAUGGUGAUGUACCAUUUGGAUGCGAUGACAUCAUAAAGGAGAAUGCACGACAUUACACGGCAAAUUCAGUUAUCACUUAAAAAGCAUGAAAUAAACAAAAUUAAUUUGUUUUAUAUAUAAGGUUGAAAUAUUUUUCAUUCGUGAACACCAGCUUUUCUAUUUUCACUUGUGGCUACGCCACUCGUGAAAAUAUUGCAUCUGGUAUCCACUUGGUGAAAUUUAUUUCAAUCUUGCAAAACAAAAAUAUCCUCUUUGUAUUCUGUUGAGGUCCAUGAAUAGAGAGCUUUUAGUGUCUAUGUAUUAUGAGGCUAUAAGUUGUGUGUCUGUUGUGAGGCCAUUAGUGGUCCAUGUAUUAUGAGUUUCUGGCAAAUGAAUAUUAUGAGUUUAAAGUUUGGUUCAGGACAUGUUAAUGAGCUUAAAACCUAUUGUGUGUUGAAACUCUUAACCUAUUCAAAAAUAAAGCUAUGAUUAACAGAAAAUUGUGUUUGUUUUAACAAUUGAUGCAUUAUGAACAUCCAAAUUAGAGUUUGGGCACAUUCAAAGUAAUGCAUGUAGUUGAAUUACUGGUGUUACUCCUGAUCAAGUGGUCCAGCUGCAGCACUUGAUGCUUCAAAUGUUACUCUCGUGGAUUGGUUUGAGAUCUCUACUGUCGUACCUUAACUACCUAAUGUUUCAUGUAGGGCAUUUGUCAGUGACUGGUGGGGUUAUAUAUUCAGUACUUGAUACGGCACCCAGGGACUGCUGUUAUAUAGCCUACAUUGUGUUGAGUACAGGGUAAAACCACAUAUAAACCAUACCAAAUGAUUUGAUAAGUUUUUUAAGAAACAAAUAGAAAAAUUCAUUUUGUGGUUUGGCUCAUUAAAUUUUCAGGUUUAUAGGUAGCAUUUGACAUAAAAUGUAAUUAGCACAAGCACAAUGAUGGUAGUGCUGUUGCCACAAUAUUUUCUAGAAGAUUGAGGCUGAUUUUAUGUCAUUAGAAAAUUUGCUUUUCAUCAUCAGCCGGAUAGUCCCUUUGGACUUCACAUCAACCCUUAAAGUUUGGACUUCAUCUUAACCCAUAAUUGUUGAUUUUUAGAUCUCUUAUCAUAAGCCCGCAUGUUUGGACAUAAAUAUAGCUCAUAAAAUAAAAAGCUCACUAACACCAAAUGUUGGUCCGUCCGUCUGUCCGUCCGUCCGUCUGUCCGUCCGUCCGUCACACUUUCGUGACCGGUCUAUAACUUUGUCAUUUAUGAAAGGAAUUUGAAAUAACUUGGCACAAAUGUUUAUUAUAAUAAGACGAUGUGUCAUGCGCAACAACCAGACCCCUACCUCCAGGGUCAAGGUCGCACUUGCUCAUUCAAGGUCAACAUUGCCUAUUUGAGGGUAUAUGUCGUGUCCGGUCCAUAACUUUCUUAUCUAUGAAGGGAUUUUGUAAAUACUUGCCAUAAUUGUUCACAAUAAUCAGACAAUGUGUCAUGCGCAAAAACCAGUCACCUACCUUCAAGGUCAAGGUCACACUUGGAGGUCAAAUAUUAACAUAGUCUGUUACAGGAUAUAUUUCGUGUCCGGUCCAUAACUUUGUCAUUUAUCAAAGGAAUUUGAAAUAACUUGGCACAAAUGUUUGUUAUAAUAAGAGGAUGUGUCAUGCGCAACAACCAGAUCCGUACCUUCAGGGUCAAGGUCGUACUUGCUCAUUCAAGGUUAACAUUGUCUAUUUGAGGGUAUAUGUCAUGUCCGGUCCAUAUCUUUCUUAUCUAUGAAGGGAUUUUGUAAAUACUUGCCAUAAUUGUUCACAAUAAUCAGACGAUGUGUCAUGCGCAAAAAACGGUCACCUACCUCCAAGGUCAAGGUCACACUUGGAGGUCAAAUACUUACAUAGUCUGUUACAGGGUAUAUUUUGUGUCCGGUCCAUAACUUUUUCAUAGAUCCAAGGAUUUUGAAAAUACUUUGCACAAAAAGUCACUAUAAUAAGAGGAUGUGUCAUGCGCAACACCUGCAUCCCUACCUCCAAGGUCAAGGUCACACUUAGAGGUCAAAAAUUAACAUAGUCUGUUAUAGGGUAUAUUUUGUGUCAAAUCUAGAACUUCUUCAUAGUUCAAGAGAUUUUAAAAUAACUUGGCACAAAUAGUCACCAUAAUAAGACAAUAUGUAAGGUACAACACCUGCACCCCUACAUCCAAGGUCAAGGUCACACUUAGAGGUCAAAGGUUAACAGAGUCUGUUAUUUGGUAUAUUUUUUGUCCCGUCCAUUACUUCUUCAUAGAUUAAGAGAUUUUGAAAAUACUUGGGACAAAUAGUCACAAUGAUUAGAUGAUAUGUCAUACGUAACAUCUGUGUCCCUACCUCCAAGGUCAAGGUCACACUUAGAGAUCAAAGAUUUACAUAGUCUGUUAUUAUAAGGGUAUAUUUUGUGUCCAAUCUAUAACUUCUUCAUAGUUCAAGGGAUUUUGAAAAUACUUGGCACAAAUAGUCUCAAUAAUAAGACGUUAUGUCAUGCACAACACCUGCUCCCCUACCUCCAAGGUCAAGGUCACACUAAGAGGUCAAAUCUUAACAUGAUAGAUUUUUAAAUUCCGUGUUUCAUUUUAUUUUUUUAACAAAUUUAUUGUUACAUUUGCAGAUCUAGCAUUGAUCAUAAUUUUGGAGUAAAUGUCCUGAGAUCCAUUAUAACCUCAAUCUUUUGAAAUAGCACAAUUUUAUGCUUCAUAUAAAAUUUCCCGAGGCGGGGGACGUUGGUAACUCUGUUACAAAUUCUUGUUA